rnacentral:rRNA from 1 species
UGCCAGCCGCCGCGGUAAUACGAAAGGUGCAAGCGUUAAUCGGAAUUACUGGGCGUAAAGCGCGCGUAGGCGGCUUGGUAAGUUGGAUGUGAAAGCCCCGGGCUCAACCUGGGAACUGCAUCCAAAACUGUCUAGCUAGAGUAUGGUAGAGGAUGGCGGAAUUUCCUGUGUAGCGGUGAAAUGCGUAGAUAUAGGAAGGAACAUCAGUGGCGAAGGCGGCCAUCUGGACCAAUACUGACGCUGAGGUGCGACAGCGUGGGGAGCAAACAGGAUUAGAUA